rnacentral:rRNA from 1 species
GAUGAACGCUAGCGGGAGGCCUAACACAUGCAAGCCGAGCGGUAUUGUUUCUUCGGAAAUGAGAGAGCGGCGUACGGGUGCGUAACACGUGUGCAACCUGCCUUUAUCUGGGGGAUUGCCUUUCGAAAGGAAGAUUAAUACUCCAUAAUAUAUUGAACGGCAUCGUUUAAUAUUGAAAGCUCCGGCGGAUAGAGAUGGGCACGCGCAAGAUUAGCUAGUUGGUGAGGUAACGGCUCACCAAGGCGAUGAUCUUUAGGGGGCCUGAGAGGGUGAUCCCCCACACUGGUACUGAGACACGGACCAGACUCCUACGGGAGGCAGCAGUGAGGAAUAUUGGUCAAUGGGUGCAAGCCUGAACCAGCCAUCCCGCGUGAAGGACGACUGCCCUAUGGGUUGUAAACUUCUUUUGUAUAGGGAUAAACCUACCCUCGAGAGGGUAGCUGAAGGUACCAUACGAAUAAGCACCGGCUAACUCCGUG